GCCCUCGUAGCUCAGGGGAUAGAGCUUCUGCCUCCGGAGCAGAAGGCCGCAGGUUCGAAUCCUGCCGAGGGCA
rnacentral:tRNA from 1 species